UCGAACGAGAAAGGGGAGCAAUCCCUGAGUAAAGUGGCGUACGGGUGAGUAACACGUGGAUGAUCUACCUCUUAGUGGGGGAUAACCCUGGGAAACCGGGGCUAAUACCGCAUAAGCCUGAAAAGGGAAAGGAGCAAUUCGCUGAGAGAGGAGUCCGCGGCUGAUUAGCUAGUUGGUGAGGUAACGGCCCACCAAGGCAAUGAUCGGUAGCCGGCCUGAGAGGGCACACGGCCACACUGGCACUGAAACACGGGCCAGACUCCUACGGGAGGCAGCAGUGGGGAAUCUUGCACAAUGGGGGCAACCCUGAUGCAGCGACGCCGCGUGAGCGAUGAAGCCCUUCGGGGUGUAAAGCUCUUUCGACGGGAACGAUAAUGACGGUACCCGGAGAAGAAGCUGCGGCUAACUACGUGCCAGCAGCCGCGGUAAUACGUAGGCAGCAAGCGUUGUUCGGAGUUACUGGGCGUAAAGAGUGCGUAGGCGGUCCUGUAAGUUUGGUGUGAAAUCUCCCGGCUCAACUGGGAGGGUGCGCCGAAGACUGCAGGGCUUGAGUAUGGGAGAGGUAAGCGGAAUUCCUGGUGUAGCGGUGAAAUGCGUAGAUAUCAGGAGGAACACCUGUGGUGUAGACAGCUUACUGGACCAUAACUGACGCUGAGGCACGAAAGCGUGGGUAGCAAACAGGAUUAGAUACCCUGGUAGUCCACGCCCUAAACGAUGCAAUACUUGGUGUGAGCCAUUCAAUUUGGUUCGUGCCGGAGCUAA
rnacentral:rRNA from 1 species